GAUGAAGAACGUAGCGAAAUGCGAUAAGUAAUGUGAAUUGCAGAAUUCAGUGAAUCAUCGAAUCUUUGAACGCACAUUGCGCCCGCCAGUACUCUGGCGGGCAUGCCUGUUCGAGCGUCAUUUCAACCCUCGGGCCCCGCAUUCGUGCGGGCCCCGGCGUUGGGGACCGGCCUCCGCAUCGGUCGGCCGCCCCCGAAACCCAGUGGCGGUCCCGCCGCGGCCUUCUCUGCGUAGUAGCAUACACCUCGCACUGGAGAGCGGCGCGGCCACGCCGUAAAAGAAACGAACUUUCUGAAGGUUGACCUCGGAUCAGGUAGGAAUACCCGCUGAACUUAAGCAUAUCAAUAAGCGGAGGA
rnacentral:misc_RNA from 1 species